UUUUGUAUCUACAUCCUUUUUCUUUUGUUUGGUUUUGAAAUAAUCAUGAAUAUUACCAAGAGGGUUUCCAUCAAUAACAUUUAGAAAAGAAGAUAUGAAGGAGAUGCCUUUUUUGGAAUGCAAAAAGGAGGACUAUCCACCAACCUGUGCCCACAUUCUCCAAAAUGGCAGUAGUCUCUCACUGAGAAGAAGCUGCCCCUUCUGAUGAGCUAAGCACACUCGAGUUGCCACAGGUCCUGCUGCUCCCUUUUCCUUGUCGUGGAAGGUUUAGCGGCAGUUCCCCAGUCUCCGGCAUGGCAUCUUGAAAACCUCCUGCAAACGACUCUGGAAACAGUAACCAAGUCAGCCAUAUCCGCAGGGCUCUCACUUGGGCUCUCAGCUUGUUCUAAGUUCUCAUAGCUGAAUCAAUAUCGAAGCUUCUCUCUGACCACAAGCCUCCCACCUGGGCAGCCUCCUUACCCUUCUAUGGUUGGAGGGGGGCUGCUUUGAACUCUCAGGUGUUUCAUUCGCUUCAAGUUUGAUUGAA